GAUGAACGCUGGCGGCGUGCCUAAUACAUGCAAGUCGAGCGAACGGACGAGAAGCUUGCUUCUCUGAUUUUAGCGGCGGACGGGUGAGUAACACGUGGAUAACCUACCUAUAAGACUGGGAUAACUUCGGGAAACCGGUGCUAAUACCGGAUAAUAUUUUGAACCGCAUGGUUCAAAAGUGAAAGACGGUCUUGCUGUCACUUAUAGAUGGAUCCGCGCUGCAUUAGCUAGUUGGUAAGGUAACGGCUUACCAAGGCAACGAUGCAUAGCCGACCUGAGAGGGUGAUCGGCCACACUGGAACUGAGACACGGUCCAAACUCCUACGGGAGGCAGCAGUAGGGAAUCUUCCGCAAUGGGCGAAAGCCUGACGGAGCAACGCCGCGUGAGUGAUGAAGGUCUUCGGAUCGUAAAACUCUGUUAUUAGGGAAGAACAUAUGUGUAAGUAACUGUGCACAUCUUGACGGUACCUAAUCAGAAAGCCACGGCUAACUACGUG
rnacentral:rRNA from 1 species